rnacentral:ncRNA from 1 species
UUAUAAGCAAUGAUUAAGAAAUAGUAAAAGAUGAAAUCUUUACAGAGAGGAAACGGUGGUGAAAGUUUCUAAGAAGAAGUCUUUGAACCAGUCUUUUAGCUUAAAAACGGUAAAAAGUUUUUACGGUAGGGACCGUUAUAUCCCAUAAAGAGAGUCUUUGGGCUAAUUAGAGUGGUACCGCGGAAAUUAAACCUUUCGUCUCUAUA